UAGCAGCACAGAAAUGUUGG
rnacentral:miRNA from 1 species